CCCUUAGAUGUUCUGGGCCGCACGCGCGCUACACUGAUGCAUUCAACGAGCCUAUCCUUGACCGACAGGUCCGGGUAAUCUUUGAAUCUGCAUCGUGACGGGGAUAGAUUAUUGCAAUUAUUAAUCUUCAACGAGGAAUGCCUAGUAGGCGCAAGUCAUCAGCUUGCGUCGAUUACGUCCCUGCCCUUUGUACACACCGCCCGUCGCUCCUUCCGAUUGGGUGUGCUGGUGAAAUGUUCGGAUCGGCCGUUUGUCGCGGUUUCCGCGUCAUGUGGCUGAGAAGUUCAUUAAACCCUCCCACCUAGAGGAAGGAGAAGUCGUAACA
rnacentral:rRNA from 1 species